rnacentral:tRNA from 1 species
GGGGAUGUGGCUUUGUGGUAAAGUGCUUGCUUAGCAUGCAUGAGGCUCUGGAUUCAAUCCUCAGCACUGCUA